UCUGCUGUAAAUAAACCACAGCCCAGAGCAUAGAGCACAAUAUUGUAUACAGAUCCAGCGGAUUGCCAGGACUUUGGUAUUAAGCUAAAUAUGCUCAGGCCCAUAUUUCCAAUCACUUCAGAUGAUAAGGUCAAUACUAAUAGCUUCAAUAUAAUACCAAACACUUCAGCAAUGUCCUUGAAACUUCAACUGCACCUAGAAAUUUCAGUUCAAGGGGUUUAGCAUAAUCAUUGUGGUUAGUUAUCUGUUAUUGUGCCGUUAAGUUUCUUAAGAGAUUUCAGGAUCUUUUUUAUUAGAGACCAUGUCAAUAUCAGACUUUGUAAAAAGUUGUGGGAAAUUGCUCUCAUUAGCAAUGUGGUUGUAUUAGUCAUAUCUUUAGUUAAAGAAAACUUGUAUUUUUGUUGUCAUCUAUUUGUACUUGGUUCAACCAAUACAUGUUAAUGUUUGUGUAUUGUUGUGUGAUUGUUAAGCUUGAUCCAGCUGUAAGGAAAGCAUUUGAUGUGGCAUAUGCCAAUAUUUAUGCAUUUCAUGAUGCUCAAAGGGUUCCUGAGAAGGAUAUUGAGAAUAUGACAGGAGUUCGGUGCAAAAGGAUAGCAAGGUGCAUCGGCGCUGUAGGGCUUUAUGUUCCAGGGGGUACUGCAGUUUUACCCUCAACUGCUCUCAUGCUUUCAGUGAUAUGGUUGACUUUUGAUUUCUUCCGUGCACCAGCCCGCACAUAUUGCCGGGUGCAAAACUAUUGUUCUUGCAACUCCGCCAAGUCGUGAUGGUAGCAUUUGCAAGGAAGUACUUUAUUGUGCCAAGAAAGCCGGUGUAACUCACAUUCUAAAAGCUGGGGGAGCUCAGGCAGUCUCAGCAAUGGCUUGGGGAACUCCAUCUUGCCCAAAGGUACAAAAUUCCAGUAUGUAGUGGGGGUUACUUUAUGAAUUAUUUUCUUUUAUAUGUUUGAGGAAAAUAUACCAAAAGCAGCUGGUUGUCUUGUAAAAUUAGUGACUGUAAAUUCUAGGAUUACUGGGCUUAUGUUAUUACAGCUUAUCUUCUAUUAUUCUGUAAUCUUCCAUGUGAGUACUUUUUUGCAUCAAAGAGCAAACACUUCUUGUUGCAUUCUUUGUAUUUGUUAGGUGCACAAUGCAUAAAUAUUUCUUAAUGA